UCAAAACCAUCUGCUACCUCCCACACUGGCCUGUAACUCCUGGGUCACCCAAGUUAUUCUCCUGCCUCAACUUUCUAGUAACUAAGAAAACCAGCACAUCUAUUUAACCUUGUACAAACGUUCAGACGUUAAAAAAAAUGCCAGUUAUUUUUACUUCAGUUAUAAGUAUUUUAUGUUUCAUCUUAUUUACUUUAGUACCAUAGUGACUUUGAAAAGUAAUUUAAUAAUUAAUGAGUGCUGCAAUCCAAAGGACUUUAAGAUAAAACUUGUAGAUACAAAGUGUGACAUGUUAAAUAGCGAUUGCCAUGCCUUAUCCAGUUAACUGGUGUGCUUCUUGACUUUGCUGGAAGGUGUAUCACUAUGUUUCUAUUCAUAUAAUGGGGUAUCCUCCUGUAAGGUAAAGAGAUUGACUCCCAGAAGGUGGCAAGCAUAUAAACUAGUUCUGGGGUAUCGAUCAUCUUUCAAUUAGCACGGAACUUAUACACAUGGUAUGUCAAAAGUAAAUUCAUUUAUGGCCUUAUAAAACUAAUAUUACUGGUAGUGAAUCAUUUCAACAUAGUUUUAUGAAGCUAGAACCCAGAAAAAGAAUAGUAAAAUACAAACACUAACAAGCCAAGAAUGAAAAUCACUGACAAAAGAAUAUGUCAUGCCUGAAAUUAACAAGAUCAAACUCCAAAACACCUGUCAAAUCUUUCUUAUUUCCGAGCAGUAAGUCCUACUGGCUUAGUAAUCUGGAAACCCCAUUGUAAAAAGCUUUAACAAAAUAGUUUCAGAUCCUCUGUUGCUUACUGGGUUGAACUAUUGGUGAAAGGUUACGGGGCCAGAGCACACAUUUUUAGACCAUAACUAUGACUCUGACGUGUGAAGGCUUUUCUGAGUGCCGUCGUUCAACAGGAAAAUGUGUGUGUGAUAAUAGACCUCAAGAUUCCUGAAGCUGAGGAUAACUUGGAAAUCACCACACAGUCAGAUUUCAGUAUUUAAACUUUACCCUAUGAAAUUAGUGAAACUGCUAACUUUACACACUGACGUAAUUCUUGCUUUGUUUCUUGCACCAAAAAAGAAAGUAUUGAAACACAAGGAUAGGGUUAGAAUUUGUUGUAAUGUAUGAUGAUUUUGAAUGUCAUAUGAAGCGAGGUCAGAGGAAAAUAUAGCAGACUCUUGCAAAAACAAUGAAAGGAUAAUCUAAGAGAUGAACAAAUCUGAAUUAAAAUCUAAUGGCUGUCAGUUUACUGGGCAGGAAUAAGGAAAAUCAACUAUAUAAAUUUUCACAUUUCACUAAAUGCAGAAUUUUUAUUUUAAAGUCUUAAUCAUCACUUGUUAACUCACAAUGGCAUUUUAAAGAUGGAAGUUUAUAUAAACAUGUGGGGGAGAGUAAGAUAAAAUUUAAUUAAUGUCUCUUAGAGUCAUUGUGAAUUUUUUUCAAAUAAGAUUUUUUUAAGAGAGAGAAUAUUUUAGAAUUUUUUUAGGAAUUUUGUUUUUUAGGAAUAUGUAACACAGCCCUGAUGUUUUGGGAUAAAACUGUUCAUGACUUUAACUAUCUAAAGUUUACUGAUUGUAAACUCUAAAUCUCUGAACAUAAGAUAUGUAAGAAUGUCAAAUUAUGCUCACUUUUGUGCUAAGUCUUUUUAAAUAUUCUCAGGAAUUCCUUGGCCUUCACCUCUUAAAAAGGCUAAUGAAUUUUUUGUUGUUUUUAAUUAUGAAUCCAUAUGCACCUUUCAUAAAUAUUUUCAUUUAAAGUC
rnacentral:lncRNA from 1 species